UGAGAGUUCAAGAGGGCGUGAAACCGCUUAGAAGCAAACAGAUGGAACUGAUGAAGAGUCGGUGUUAUUCAGCCGAUCGCGUCCACCUCAGCCUCGCGCCAGAUGUCAUGCUGGUUGUGGGUGUCUGGUGUGGCCGGUUGGUGCAUUUUCACCGAUGCGCACUGGAAGCCGUGCUUGCGCUGGAUGUAGGGCGGAGAGUGCCGACCAAGUACGUUGGUGUCCCCUCUGUGUCUGAAGCCGGGUCGCGAGUACGGUGUCGAAGGUGAGCACCCGCCUAUACUCGUGGGUGCUGUGUGCCUGGCUCGGUUGGAAGUUGGUUGCUUGCAACCCUCGGCUGGCCGCGGCCUUGUCACCUGGCGUCUGUCGAGUUGGUGCUAUUCCGGUGUUUGUGUCAGCCACCCAUCUGACCCGUCUUGAAACACGGACCAAGGAGUCUAACAUGUGCGCGAGUCAUUGGGUGGUAAAACCUAAAGGCGCAAUGAAAGUGAAGUUCAGUUUGGAUGAGCUACAUGGGAUCUUAUGCUGGAAGUGGCAGAAGCGCACCAUGGUCCCGUCCCAUGUGCUUUGUGAGAUGGGCGGAGAUAGAGCGUACAUGUUGGGACCCGAAAGAUGGUGAACUAUGCCUGAGCAGGAUGAAGCCAGAGGAAACUCUGGUGGAGGUCCGUAGCGAUUCUGACGUGCA
rnacentral:rRNA from 1 species